rnacentral:rRNA from 1 species
AGAACGAACGCUGGCGGCAUGCCUAAUACAUGCAAGUCGAACGAACUCUUCGGAGUUAGUGGCGCACGGGUGCGUAACGCGUGGGAAUCUGCCCCUUGGUUCGGAAUAACAGUUGGAAACGACUGCUAAUACCGGAUGAUGACGAAAGUCCAAAGAUUUAUCGCCAAGGGAUGAGCCCGCGUAGGAUUAGGCUAGUUGGUGAGGUAAAGGCUCACCAAGGCAACGAUCCUUAGCUGGUCUGAGAGGAUGAUCAGCCACACUGGGACUGAGACACGGCCCAGACUCCGUACGGGAGCAGCAGUAGGGAAUAGUUGGACAAAGUGGGACGAAAGCCUAGACUCAGCAAGUGCCGCGUAGAGUGAGUAGGAAGUCCGUUAGGGUUAGUAAA